CGAAUAACCAAAUAAAGAGAGCUAUCUGUCGACAGUCUAGUUAAAAUCUAUUCACCACAGAAUAUUACUGUCAUGGAAUUGCUCUCUUUGUAUAGUAUUCG
rfam:Glossina brevipalpis unplaced genomic scaffold Scaffold92, whole genome shotgun sequence.